GGAUGUGAGGGCAAUCUGGCUGUGACAUCUGUCACCCCAUUGAUCACCAGGGUUGAUUCGGCUGAUCUGGCUGGCUAGGCGGGUGUCCCCUUCCUCCCUCACCGCUCCAUGUGCAUCCCUCCCAAAGCUGCGCGCUCGGUCGAAGAGGACGACCUUCCUCGAAUAGAGGAGGACUGGUCUUCAGUCAAGGGUAUACGAAUAGCUGCACUCCCCUGCUAGAACCUCCAAACAAGCUCUCAAGAAUAUGGUAGAUCAUAUUUUUCAAAGACAGAAUAGAAUAUUUAUUGUUUAGAUAACAACUUC
rnacentral:snRNA from 1 species